rnacentral:rRNA from 1 species
GCGAAACCGCGAGGUGGAGCAAAACUAUAAAAGACGAUCUCAGUUCGGACUGCAGGCUGCAACUCGCCUGCACGAAGUUGGAAUUGCUAGUAAUCGCGGAUCAGAAUGCCGCGGUGAAUACGUUCCCGGGUCUUGUACACACCGCCCGUCACACCAUGGGAGUCAGUAACGCCCGAAGUCAGUGACCCAACCUUAGGGAGGGAGCUGCCGAAGGCGGGACGGAUAACUGGGGUGAAGUCGUAACAAGGUAAC